AUGGCGAGCGGCACCUGGCUUGGUGGUCGGCGGCAUGAUGCUCAGCGGGUUAGAUCGGCGAGAAUGGAUUCAGACGCGAAGCAUUUUGAGCAGGCGUGUGGCCUCGAUGUCGGGGCAGCGCAGCAGGUGGUGGUCGCGGCGGCGCUGCAAGUGGUGGUCGCGACCGCACUGCUAGCGGUGGUCACGGCGGCGUUGGUUCGACCACGGUCGCCACGGACUGCAGAAGGACGAGCAUCCCGCGCCGCCACCGGUGUCCUCCGUAAUUCCCUUUGGAUCUCAUUCUGUGCUGCCUCAUUUCUUGCCCACGAGGUGUUUGUUUUAAUGCCUGAAUGGGAACUGCUACUGACAAUGUGCUCAAAGAAGACUCUUAACAGUGAUAUAUUGAUAGGAACACUCCAUUUUUUCCAUUGGUGGGUGGUCAUCGAUUCGCAGUAG
rnacentral:rRNA from 1 species